UACAGAGGUCUCAAGCGUUGUUCGGAAUUACUGGGCGUAAAGGGCGCGUAGGCGGCGUGUCAAGUCAGGCGUGAAAGCCCCGGGCUCAACCUGGGAACCGCGCUUGAGACUGGCAUGCUCGAGUUCGGGAGAGGAUGGUGGAAUUCCCAGUGUAGAGGUGAAAUUCGUAGAUAUUGGGAAGAACACCGAUGGCGAAGGCAGCCAUCUGGACCGACACUGACGCUGAGGCGCGAAAGCGUGGGGAGCAAACAGG
rnacentral:rRNA from 1 species